rnacentral:rRNA from 1 species
UACGUAGGGUGCGAGCGUUAAUCGGAAUUACUGGGCGUAAAGCGCACGUAGGCGGAUAUUUAAGUCAGGGGUGAAAUCCCAGAGCUCAACUCUGGAACUGCCUUUGAUACUGGGUAUCUUGAGUAUGGAAGAGGUAAGUGGAAUUGCGAGUGUAGAGGUGAAAUUCGUAGAUAUUCGCAGGAACACCAGUGGCGAAGGCGGCUUACUGGUCCAUUACUGACGCUGAGGUGCGAAAGCGUGGGGGAGCAAACAGG